rnacentral:lncRNA from 1 species
UGAGAGUCUAAACAGCUGAUAAAAACAUCACAAGAAUCCACAAGUAAUCCACACCACUCCAGUCUAUGUUAGCUGCAAGCAACUUUUUGAAGUUAAAAACAUCUCACAUAAACUAUUUCUCGGUGAAGUGUUAGCUGUUGUUAUUUUUAUGUGGCACUGUCAUUGUAGACUAAAUCUGAUUGGACCAAAACCCGCAUACACCACUGCAAGAUGUUCUCAUCGAUAUUUUUAGUCCGUUUACCUGGAAGAAAAAGAGUGUAUAUUUUAAAUGUGUUUUUUUCCCCAAGAUAAUAAUUAUGUUUUGUCACUUUUAGUAAAGCUCAAGUUAUCAGACAUGGACUGCAUGCUACAAAUUUCAUGACUUUGUUACAAGAUCGGAAGAAUAACUGGAUAUUAGGUUGUGAGAUGCUGCUGGGAAGUGAAAUGCACGAAGCACCUCCAUCCUUGAAGAUCUGAAAGAUGAUGGGAGUCCAGUACUUACAAAAGGAUGAGAUCCAGCGGUCUAGACAGGCCAAACUCAAUAAGCGCAUUUUCCACAUGCUGAAAAUGGCAGAAGAGCGAAAGGAAGGAACUGAUUGGAAAUGUACACAAACUCAGGGCAGGUCUGUAAUUCAAUCUUACAGAGAUGCAGAGAAGGAGUUUGAACUUUGCAGCUCGGCUGAUCUGCUCUGCUCAAGAGCUCAUUCCAAUCACGCACGUCUGUGGCAUAAUCAGUUGGAGGAAGCCGAGCUCUCUGACAGACAGCGAUGCACAGCACCUCGCAAAGCAAGCGAGGCUUUCAUCUUUAAUACAAGCGCUGGGAGUCUGAGGGUGUCGGGGGUCUACGCAAGCCUCAAACACACACACACACACACACACACACACACACACACACAGACACACAGGCUCUCAUUAUUCAUUCACUUUCUUCAAUAGAUCUUCUGGUAUUUUCAUAUGUAAAGUGCUUCAGUGUGAUGUCUGGGAGGAUCUUUGAAGCAGCUCUUGUUUAUGUUUCUGGUACAAAAGAAAUUGUCUCAUUCAUAAUGCAC